CUCCAGGGCGCGAUCUUUGAGCGCAGAUUUGGUGCUCGCGAUCUGCCUUGGAUUUGAUUUAAGGUGAGCUCUCUUUACUUAUUUUGGCAUCUUGCUUGGCUGGCUCGGAUUUGUGUUAUCGGUCGACCUAUCGCGGAGCUAAGAGAGAGAUUUGGUUCUUUCUUCACAGAUUUGGGGAGAUCGGUCGUGUUCGCCCUGCGAGAUCCUAUUAUUUUCAUUCAGUGACUGAACCUGCCGAGAUUGAAGCAAGGAGGGACAGAGCAAAAAACUCUCUUGAGAACUGGGCAUCCAAUCAGAAAGUAAGUUAUAGAUAGAUACCUUAGUUUGAUGUACAUAGGUUUUUGUUAAAAUAUAUUUGACUCAAACACAAACCAGGAUUGCCAGUGGUGCCUCGAGCAUCACUUCACAGUUAGAAAUAUUCUUUUACUAUGAUUUUAAUUCGAUGUGAAAACUCUAUAGUUUGUGUUUGAGUCUGAACAAACUGCAGGUGAUUGCCGAGCAUCUGUCUUUAUCAAAAAUUAAGGAAGUGAUUCAUAUAUUGAUACACGCUUCGCACUGACCAAAUUUCUUUAAAAAUAAAUAUUUCACUUUCAUGAGUCCUCCUGAUGUUCCUGAAGUGCAGAUAUCUCAAGAUCUUGCUGUGAACAUUGCACUAGCAUUGUGCUAGCAUCAACAAGGCACUUGCAUGUUAAAGAAAUUUGGUCAGUGCGAACACGACACUGACGCUUGUGAUUUGCUUGUUAGGAUCAAGAAUCCUUUGCAAAAGCCUCCGAACCGGCGGUGGUGGCAGAAGCCGGUCUCGGGCCACGAUGGUGUCGAGCGCUGGCGGCGCGUCGUCGUCGCUGGUGAAGAACGAGCCCUACAUGCGUGCUGUCAAGAUCUACCUCAAGAGCCUAGACAUCCAAAUGGAGAAACAGCUAGCCAAGACAUGGAGAAGCACAACAGAUCGUAUAACCAGGGACCGAGGGAGGACUGGGAGAUCGACCUCGCCAAGCUUCUAUCAACCAAAAGAAAAUCAUGCUCCUCAACAGAUAGCAGAACAUCCUAUUUGAAAUGAGUUUGUGAAUAAGUGGUAAGGGGUACCACUUUUAGUUUCUUUUCUUAUUUGUCGUCAUCUAAAUUGACCAUGGUAGAUACAACAUCGCUUCGCAGGCGCACGACGAUUGCGGGCGAUUCAUAUCGCGGGUGGUUCCAGACGUGGGCACCGGGCGUGAGAUUUUUAAUGCCUACUGCUCGCUCCACAUGAUCAUUUAUCACUGGCUCCAGCAUGUCAUGCUGCUCAUGCUGCUGCAAGGGUGGCAAAUAAGAAGCUUGUCCACGUGUUCAUAGGUGAAGGACAGAUUAAUCUAAAUGGAGCUCGAUGGGUGCAGGUAGUACCAAUUGCACAUAUGGUGUCUCAAGAAGUUCACUAAGGAUUAUGGUAUGGCCUUUUUCUUCCUGGCAAAAGCAUGUCAACUUUGUCGAUUCCCUCAUUUUGUUAUCGAUUGAUUUGGAAAUUAUGCUGGUGAUGAAGGGAUUGUCUAUGUUUGGAAAGAAUGAUUCCGGAACAAAAUACCAUUAUAAUGAAAUAAUUAGUUAUUUAGACCUAUUUAUACCUGGUAAACUUAUGGGCUUCUUUACAACAAAAAAAGGUUCUUAUGUUACAGUAGACACUAGCACAUACAACAGACUUCUUCUGAUGCUCCAAAGUUGAUGAAAGGAACAUGGGGCAAUAGCAUAAAAUGACUUGCAUAACCUUGGUUACCAAAAUAAGCUGAAUAACUAUGAGCACUCCCAUCUGUUUCGAAAGAAUUGAGAGCCACCUUCAUCCAUACAUGGAUUACCUAUUUCUCCAUGUCAGUUUGCAAAUAAUUCCAUUAAGGAGUGCCAGGGUUGCCGCUUUGUUGAAGCUCAAGUGUAAGCAGAGACGAAGCGUCGUGUGAAAAACUGAGAUGGAUAGGGAGUGGCCUCUCAUGUGUGUGCAUCAAGAGAAAAGGCACAUAUGAAAGAAUAUGCAAGAACUUCAGACCCGUACAGGAACAAGCAUUGCUGCAUUGGAAACAAUCUGGAAUGCAUUGGGCUUUAACGUGUCUGGGCGUAAGUGAAAGCUAAAUGUAUUCAUUCAACUUGUAGUAAAUUGUCUUGGUCAUCUUAUCACUGCAGCUGAGCUGUUCAGUGCGCUUAGAGGUCGUCUUUACGACAGCAACAAAAAUUUAGUAAUGGCAACAUUGUCCACCAUUGGUGGUCUUGCAUCUGCUAUGGGACCUUCUGUUGAAAAGUCAAGCAAGGGUAUUUUGGCAGAUGUGCUGAAGUGUCUUGGUGACAAUAAGAAGCACAUGCGAGAAUGCACAUUGACUGCUCUAGAUUCGUUGGUUGCUGCAGCCCAACUUGAAAAGAUGGUUCCAUAUAUUAUAAUGUCUUUGGGUGAUCAGAAAACAGUUUAGAAGGGCGAAAAGAUCUCUUUGAUUGGUUGUCUAAGCAUGUUUCAAAAAUGGGUGAUUCAUCUGAGGCUUUGCCAUUGUUGAAGCCAUCUGCAUCUUCUUUGAUGGAUAAAUCUUCUGAAGUCCGCAAAGCUGCUGAAUCCUUUAUGAAUGAAAUUCUCAGGAUCUGUGGCCAAGAAAUGGU